UAGAUACCCCGGUAGUCCACGCCCUAAACGAUGUUCACUAGUCGUCGGAAUGCUAGUCAUUUCGGUGAUGCACUUAACAGAUUAAGUGAACCGCCUGGGGAGUACGGUCGCAAGAUUAAAACUCAAAGGAAUAGACGGGGACCCGCACAAGUGGUGGAGCAUGUGGUUUAAUUCGAAGAUACGCGAAGGACCUUACCUAGCCUUGACAUUGAUUGAACGGACCAGAGAUAGACCGGUGCCCUUCGGGGAACAUGAAAACAGGUGCUGCACGGCUGUCGUCAGCUCGUGUCGUGAGAUGUUGGGUUAAGUCCCGCAACGAGCGCAACCCUCGUCAAUAGUUGCCAGCAGGUUAAGCUGGGCACUCUAUUGAGACUGCCUUCGUAAGGAGGAGGAAGGUGAGGACGACGUCAAGUCAUCAUGGCCCUUAUGGCUAGGGCUACACACGUGCUACAAUGGGGCGUACAGAGAGUUGCGAUACCGCGAGGUGGAGCCAAUCUCAUAAAGCGUCUCUCAGUUCGGAUUGAAGUCUGCAACUCGACUUCAUGAAGCUGGAAUCACUAGUAAUCGUAGAUCAGCAAUGCUACGGUGAAUACGUUCCCGGGUCUUGUACUCACCGCCCGUCACACCAUGGGAGUUGAUUUCACCCGAAAUUGGGAAGCUAACCUUCGGGAGGCUACCACUUACGGUGGAAUUAGCGACUGGGGUGAAGUCGUAACAAGGUA
rnacentral:rRNA from 1 species